GACGAACGCUGGCGGCGUGCUUAAUACAUGCAAGUCAACUGAGCUUAAGAUAGCAAUAUUUUUAAGUGCGGUGGCGCACGGGUGAGUAACACGUAGGUAAUCUGCCUUUAGGUCUGACAUAAUCCCGCGAAAGCGGGACUAAAAUCAGAUGAUGCAGCGGCUCGACAUCGAGACAGUUGUUAAACCUUCGGGGCCUAAAGAUGAGCCUGCGUCUGAUUAGGAGUUGGCGGAGUAAAAGCCCACCAAGCCUGCGAUCAGUAGCUGGUCUGAGAGGAUGAUCAGCCACACUGGAACUGAGACACGGUCCAGACUCCUACGGGAGGCAGCAGUAAGGAAUAUUGCUCAA
rnacentral:rRNA from 1 species